GGCCUCGUAGCACAAUGGAUAGUGCAGACCUCUCCUAAGGGUAAGAUCGGGGUUCGAUUCCCUGCGGGGCCA
rnacentral:tRNA from 1 species